UACAGAGGGUGCGAGCGUUAAUCGGAAUUACUGGGCGUAAAGCGCGCGUAGGCGGCUUUGCAAGUCGGGUGUGAAAUCCCCCAGGCUUAACCUGGGAACUGCAUUCGAGACUGCAUUGCUAGAGUAUGGGAGAGGGAAGUGGAAUUUCCGGUGUAGCGGUGAAAUGCGUAGGUAUCGGAAGGAACAUCAGUGGCGAAAGCGACUUCCUGGACCAAUACUGACGCUCAUGUGCGAAAGCGUGGGGAGCAAACAGG
rnacentral:rRNA from 1 species